rnacentral:lncRNA from 1 species
AUGCCGGCGCUCCCUCCCCUUUUCCACGGACUGCCGUGGGAGGGAGAACUGGCAGGAAGACCUCCGUCAGUAAGGAGCCAGGGCUCUGCACUGUCCAGUCCCUUCGUGGCAGGGGUGCAGGGGUGCAGGCUGCUGGCCGCCUCCAGCCGGCUGCCUCCACCAGCUCCCCUGCUUUCUUCUCUUAGCAGCUUCUGGUGCAACCUCAGGGCCAACUGCGACAUCUGGAGUUGGCAGCAGCUCCCGGAGCGCCGCGCCAGGUACCUCCCAGGAAGCAUCACAGACAACCACCACUCCUGGAAUCAGUGGCACAGAGGCCACCACUUCCAAGGAACACAUUCCAACCACUGAAGCAGAGACUUCCCCUGGUGAGUGUCCUCAAGUUUUGCAGCCCCCGUGGCUUUUCUGUUGGAGUCGGCUCUCUACAGAGCAUCGGCCACGAAUGUGCAUGUGGCAGGGGAGUGGUAGUUUUGCUGUCCAGGACACCUCGUGAGGCCAACCAAGAUUCGAUCCCAGGUUAUCCCCAGAGGACACAGUAGAGGUGUCCUCUAUCAAUGCCUGCCGUCUGUAUUUUUCUUUUGCCAUGUUCUACCCCAGACUUGGGAGAGGUCACCAGUGGCAAAGAAGGUGAUUAGAGAUCAUGACAACAGUGGUUGAAAAUAUGAUCAGGAAGACUUUGGUUAAAUGCUUGACCCUUGGUCACAUACUAAAUAAUUUUUAUUUAAUGUAUCCUUUGGAGAAUUAGGGGCUGAAGGCACUGGAAGAAAAUCAUGUGCACAGAAAAAAAAAGUCCUUAAAUUUACAGUCAAAGUCAUAAUGAUUCUAGAUCUAGAGAAAUGAGACCUCUGAGGCCGUUGUCAGCAGUCUCCCCCAUUUUUACCUUGGACCUUGAAUCAAGAGGGAAGGCAGUGGAAAACAUAUCCACUCAAGCAUUUGGUGCAAGAAAAUUUGUCCAAGGUCUUUCUAUUUCUUAAGAGACAAAAGAUGCCAUGGUUUCCUUAGGUUGAGAGAGGCUUUGUCAGGCUCUGUGAGACUUAGUCUCUCUUCUUUUUCAGUUACCAGUAGGGAAGCCUCUGGCACGAGUAGUCCUGGAAGUUCCAACCCAGAUAAGUAACCCUUAGCAAGAUGUUGUAGUUACCUAAUCCUGGACAAAAAGGCUCUGCCCUCUGGAUCGGGCGUUCUGUUGUAGCUGGCACGGAGCAGCCCCUACCUCACUCCUCUUGCUCUUCCCAGAGGACCAGUGAGUGUCCAUCAGUGGUUCUCAGCCCCUGUGUUGAGACUCCAGACCUUGUAUUCCACACGGGGAAGGUGGCAGGGAAACAGGCAUAGGGCCACGUCUCCUUAGGGACCU